UAAACAAUUAAACAAUUAAACAAUUAAACAAUUAAGCAAUUGGUUUGAGUCAUGUCUAUCUUCCACCUCCCUGAUAGAUGAAUGUGAUGAUUGACUGAAACAAGCACGCACGCAUACAUCAACUCAUCACCGACUUGUUAGAUGCAACUGCGCGUGAGUGUAUGGUGUUUGCUAAAUAAAAUUGAAAGCUUUUCUUGUAAUGGUAUGUGUGAACUACAAAGUUUGUUUUGAGCGUGAGGGAUUUCCGUACGAUUUGAGCGUUGUCCCGUUCAAUUCGACUCGGGAAGGCCACCCUCACGGAUUUCUCGUUUGCGUGUACAUUUGAAACGCAGUCGCGCUGCAAAACCUCAAUUCGGAUGAGAAAAAUUAUGUCCAACAGUUUGGUGUAUAACUUUCCAAUAUUUGUUUGAUUUUACGAUGAGAAAAUUGUAAAUUUAGUAAAAGAUAGUAAUUUGAACUAUUUGACAAGAAAGUCUGUCAAAAAUCAAUAAAAAUUGUUGAAUAUACGUUAACACACUUGUUAUCAACUAUAUAACUAUUUAUUUCAUUGAUAUAUAUCGGGAAGCUCAUUUUUUCGUGUUCCAAAACAUGUUUUUUAAAGAAAAAGUUCACAAAUUUUUGCGCGCCCAAAAAUUGAUCAUUAUUUUGAAGCAAUAAAUUUUUCUCGUCUUUUGCAACCAGUUUCAUGAAGAUUGAUGCAGGAAAUCAUGAGAAAUAAUCGAUUUUGUUCUUUGAUCGGCAGAAAGGCAUACGAUUUUAGGAUUCAAGAUUAAAAGUUUAACUCAGAUUCUAUUGGUACGUUCGUUUGAACAGCCGGUGCGGCACUGAGUGCCGCACUCGUCGGUGUCAGUUUUGGUUCAAUCGAACGUCAUUUGUCAGUGUGCGUGGAACUCGCAUGAAACUGAAAAAAUAUCGAGUGCUGCACUAGAGUUUCAGUUCCAAGAUGGCGGCGAAACUCGUGCGGAACUAGCGCGAGUUUUUUUUCAAAGAAUCACUUUGACAGCUCUGAGUGCGGCAAUCAGUGUGGAACUAACCAUCAAACGAACGUAUGUGCCCUGGCAGGACAUUCGCUACCUGCCGCAGGCGCUGUGCGUCGAGCCGGCCUUCUACGUUGAUGCACGUGCAACCGUUCAAGCAGCACGGCUACCGGUGCACCGCGGUGGACGGACGAAGCCAAGCAGUACUUUAACCGGACGGCCAGCGUGUUGUACGUUUUUAAGCGUUUGUCGGGGACCGACUGCUGGAGGAGAGCUCCUACGAGAUUGUCAUGAAGCGGCACGACAUUUGCGUCAACGGGUCGAUGGUGAAGGAGGGAUUCGCCGUGUCGAGUGGGUCCGAAUCGGCGGUCGUCGAGCGCAUCAAGGAGGUCAUUAAGGAGGUCAUUCCGGAGGAAGAUGAUGAGGGGACGGUUGUGGUUGUGAGGGUGGCGUGGGUUGGUCCCAUUGAAAAUUAUCAGACGUGGAGUUCGUCGGCUUUUGACACGUUCAAGGUAACGUGCGACAAGUUCAAGCGCUUAUCCAUCUCGCUGCACGGACCCAGCGUUCACGGCGCCAUCCCUGUCACCUGUCAUCAUGUAGGGCAUGACCGAGUAAAAUGUCAAGGCGUCGUCUCCGGCUUGGUCAGUACGGCUAAGUCCACCUCAAGGAGAAGUUUAAGCCCCUGGCGGAGACGGCCUCCGUCGAAGAAGAACUCCAGCGUUACCAUCAAUCCUUUGACAAGAAGGAUUGACGUGGACGUGGACAUGAAGGAUGAAAAACCUGAUCUACAGCAGUAGGAAGACGACAGCGCCACCGACAAGUUCUACUCGGACAACGAACCGUGCAUAGCCAAGUUCCACCAGGACAACAAGUUCUACCGCGCGAUCGUCCGCAAAGCCAUCAGCUGUCGCCGCUACAAGGUCCAGUUCAUCGACUACGGCAACAUCGAAGAGGUGGAUAUUGCAGAUUUGCGCAAGAACGUCAACUGCGGGCGCGUCCCCAUCCAGAUGAACAGCUACCGCCUCACGAACGUCGCCCCAAAGAAGGCAACACCUGGCCGACGGAAGUCCUCGACACGCUGCAUUCACUAAUCGUUGACAACCAGUGCCAAAUCCGCGUCGACAUGGACGCGGACGCGGCCGGCGUUGUUUUCCUAGAGUGCGGGAACGCGAUUCGCGUGAGCACCGAACCAUCCCGUCCAGUCGAAUGAGGUGUUUGAUUCAAUCUGCGAUGAUGAGUAGACCGACGCGAUCAAAACGACAGACGACGCCAACGACAAGGAAUACCCGGUAGCUUCGGAGAACUUAUCCGAUGCGGGACAAUUCGGGAGCAAGGCAGACUGGGGACACUACAAGCAGUUUUUAAGUGCCGUUGGCGAGACCAGAACUAAGACAGAAGUGCUAGAGCUCACUUACGGAACGUCGCAAGGUACUUGCUUGUGGCGCUCUCGUUCCAUCGUAGGAUCUUAAACCACCGAGCAUGCCAGCGCAACUCAACCUGUAAACGAACAUGCCCCUUUUGCUGAGCUUGCUCCGGUCAGAGUUCACGGCAGGAUAAAGCUGACGGCGUAUUUCAACCUGAUGACGUACACGUUGAUGGACCACACCUCCGCGUCUUCUGGGAGCUAUCAACCCGUAGCCCUUAGAAUCGUCCGUUCCGACGCGACCACAACAAGCAGUCGCUGCUGGAAUCUGGUACCUGGUCAUUAUUGACUGCCCUGAACACGCGCGCUUCGGGGGCAACCUUCGGGAAGUUAAUUACUUAGUUGCCCGAAACCAAACCAGGUGUUCGACUUUCUGGACCCAACAGUACCGACUAUGACAACCGGAGCCAUGCUGCCGUGGGCUGCGGAUGUGCUGCCAGCACAGUAGAUUCCUUCCGCGUCAAAUGGCCGUCCCCACCAGAAUCUGCACUGUGCCUUUCAUCAAACCAUCCGGCGACGAACCAGGUGGCUCAACUUCGAAAGCGUAUUGGAGGCGUGCGUCUCGUGAUUAGUUCAAAAUUCUAGCACUAAUGUUUUUUUUUC